GAUGAGCGCUGGCGGCGUGCCUAAUACAUGCAAGUCGGGCGAACGGACGAGAAGCUUGCUUCUCUGAUGUUAGCGGCGGACGGGUGAGUAACACGUGGAUAACCUACCUAUAAGACUGGGAUAACUUCGGGAAACCGGAGCUAAUACCGGAUGAUAUUUUGAACCGCAUGGUUCAAAAGUGAAAGACGGUCUUGCUGUCACUUAUAGAUGGAUCCGCGCUGCAUUAGCUAGUUGGUAAGGUAACGGCUUACCAAGGCAACGAUGCAUAGCCGACCUGAGAGGGUGAUCGGCCACACUGGAACUGAGACACGGUCCAGACUCCUACGGGAGGCAGCAGUAGGGAAUCUUCCGCAAUGGGCGAAAGCCUGACGGAGCAACGCCGCGUGAGUGAUGAAGGUCUUCGGAUCGUAAAACUCUGUUAUUAGGGAAGAACAUAUGUGUAAGUAACUGUGCACAUCUUGACGGUACCUAAUCAGAAAGCCACGGCUAACUACGUG
rnacentral:rRNA from 1 species